AGGGGAUCAAGCUUGAAGAGCAGAAGCCAGGACCCCAGAAGAACAAGGAUGACUACAUCCCGUACCCCAGCAUCGACGAGGUUGUGGAGAAGGGAGGCCCAUACCCUCAGGUCAUCCUGCCUCAGUUUGGGGGCUACUGGAUUGAGGACCCGGAGAACGUGGGCACCCCAACAUCGCUGGGCAGCAGCAUCUGUGAGGAGGAGGAAGAGGACAACCUCAGCCCCAACACGUUUGGCUACAAGCUGGAGUGCAAGGGCGAAGCCAGGGCCUACCGCAGGCACUUCCUAGGGAAGGUGAGGCUGGGGACCGUGCGGAGAGGAGCUGCCGGGGUC